UGCAGAGAGAAGAUGCGGUGAGACCACAGA
rnacentral:piRNA from 1 species